rnacentral:tRNA from 2 species
AGUAAAAUGCCUGAAUUAAAGGGUUAUCGUGAUAGGAUAAAUAAUGUAAUCUUCCAAUUACUUUUACUA